CCUACGGGUGUCAGCAGUGGGGAAUAUUGCUCAAUGGCCGUAACGCUGAACCAGCCAAGUCGCGUGAAGGAAGAAGGUUCUAUGAUUUGUAAACUUCUUUUAUAGGGGAAUAAAGGUAUCCAUGUGUGGAUCAUUGCAUGUCCCCUAUCAUGAAACAUCCGCUAACUCUGUGCCAGCAGCAGCGGUUAUACGGAGGAUGCGAGCGUUAACCGGAUUUAUUGGGUUUAAAGGGUGCGAAGGUUGGUUUUGAAGUCAGAUGUGAAAUUUUGUGGCUUAACGAUAAAAUUGCCGUUGAAACUGGAAGACUAGAGUGUGUGUGAGGUAGGCGGAAUGCGUGGUGGAGGGGUAAAAUGCAUAGAUAUCACGAAGAA
rnacentral:rRNA from 1 species